GACGAACGCUGGCGGCGUGCCUAACACAUGCAAGUCGAACGGAACUGUUUUGAAAGAUUUCUUCGGAAUGAAUUUGAUUUAGUUUAGUGGCGGACGGGUGAGUAACGCGUGAGUAACCUGCCUUCAAGAGGGGAAUAACAUUCUGAAAAGAAUGCUAAUACAGCAUGACAUAUCGGAACCACAUGGUUUUGAUGUCAAAGAUUUUAUCGCUUGAAGAUGGACUCGCGUCAGAUUAUUUAGUUGGUGAGGUAACGGCUCACCAAGACCGCGAUCGGUAGCCGGACUGAGAGGUUGAACGGCCACAUUGGGACUGAGACACGGCCCAGACUCCUACGGGAGGCAGCAGUGGGGGAUAUUGCGCAAUGGGGGCAACUCUGACGCAGCAACGCCGCGUGAAGGAUGAAGGUUUUCGGAUUGUAAACUUCUUUUAUUAAGGACGAAAAAUGACGGUACUUAAUGAAUAAGCUCCGGCUAACUACGUG
rnacentral:rRNA from 1 species